rnacentral:rRNA from 1 species
AGAGUUUGAUCAUGGCUCAGAUUGAACGCUGGCGGCAGGCCUAACACAUGCAAGUCGAACGGUAACAGGAAGAAGCUUGCUUCUUUGCUGACGAGUGGCGGACGGGUGAGUAAUGUCUGGGAAACUGCCUGAUGGAGGGGGAUAACUACUGGAAACGGUAGCUAAUACCGCAUAACGUCGCAAGACCAAAGAGGGGGACCUUCGGGCCUCUUGCCAUCGGAUGUGCCCAGAUGGGAUUAGCUAGUAGGUGGGGUAACGGCUCACCUAGGCGACGAUCCCUAGCUGGUCUGAGAGGAUGACCAGCCACACUGGAACUGAGACAGGGUCCAGACUCCUACGGGAGGCAGCAGUGGGGAAUAUUGCACAAUGGGCGCAAGCCUGAUGCAGCCAUGCCGCGUGUAUGAAGAAGGCCUUCGGGUUGUAAAGUACUUUCAGCGGGGAGGAAGGGAGUAAAGUUAAUACCUUUGCUCAUUGACGUUACCCGCUGAAGAAGCACCGGCUAACUCCGUGCCAGCAGCCGCGGUAAUACGGAGGGUGCAAGCGUUAAUCGGAAUUACUGGGCGUAAAGCGCACGCAGGCGGUUUGUUAAGUCAGAUGUGAAAUCCCCGGGCUCAACCUGGGAACUGCAUCUGAUACUGGCAAGCUUGAGUCUCGUAGAGGGGGGUAGAAUUCCAGGUGUAGCGGUGAAAUGCGUAGAGAUCUGGAGGAAUACCGGUGGCGAAGGCGGCCCCCUGGACGAAGACUGACGCUCAGGUGCGAAAGCGUGGGGAGCAAACAGGAUUAGAUGCCCUGGUAGUCCACGCCGUAAACGAUGUCGACUUGGAGGUUGUGCCCUUGAGGCGUGGCUUCCGGAGCUAACGCGUUAAGUCGACCGCCUGGGGAGUACGGCCGCAAGGUUAAAACUCAAAUGAAUUGACGGGGGCCCGCACAAGCGGUGGAGCAUGUGGUUUAAUUCGAUGCAACGCGAAGAACCUUACCUGGUCUUGACAUCCACAGAGCUUUCCAGAGAUGGAUUGGUGCCUUCGGGAACUGUGAGACAGGUGCUGCAUGGCUGUCGUCAGCUCGUGUUGUGAAAUGUUGGGUUAAGUCCCGCAACGAGCGCAACCCUUAUCUUUUGUUGCCAGCGGUCCGGCCGGGAACUCAAAGGAGACUGCCAGUGAUAAACUGGAGGAAGGUGGGGAUGACGUCAAGUCAUCAUGGCCCUUACGACCAGGGCUACACACGUGCUACAAUGGCGCAUACAAAGAGAAGCGACCUCGCGAGAGCAAGCGGACCUCAUAAAGUGCGUCGUAGUCCGGAUUGGAGUCUGCAACUCGACUCCAUGAAGUCGGAAUCGCUAGUAAUCGUGGAUCAGAAUGCCACGGUGAGUACGUUCCCGGGCCUUGUACACACCGCCCGUCACACCAUGGGAGUGGGUUGCAAAAGAAGUAGGUAGCUUAACCUUCGGGAGGGCGCUUACCACUUUGUGAUUCAUGACUGGGGUGAAGUCGUAACAAGGUAACCGUAGGGGAACCUGCGGUUG